AAUGCUUCUCUUUCUCCAAAACAGAGAGGCGAAGGAGGUCCCGUCCGCAGUCCCGUCCGCCGCUGUCCCAUCCGCCGCCGGCUUCUCUUCUACACCCACUCCCAUCCGCCACCGGCUUCUCUUCUACGCCCCGCAGUCCCGUCCGCCGCCGGCUUCUGUGCUCCCCCCACCGCCACCCUUCCGUCGAGAUAUGCCCGCCUUCUCUUCUGCGCCCCGCGCCGGAUCUGGAUCCGGCGGAAAGCAGGGAGGGGCGGUGGGAGCUGGGCGGCGGAGCGGCCUCGCAGCGGCUUGCAAAAUAGAAGCCGCCGUCUCCCUCGCUCCAUCCCCUGCCGUCGCCGUCUUCCUUGCUCCAUCCCCCGCCACCCCCACCGCUCGACAAAGCUGCCAUCCUCACUCCAUCCCCACCCUUCAGCGCUCGGCCGAAGCCGCCUCCCCUCGCUCUGUUCCACCACCAGCAUUCCAUCCCCAUCCACUCAUUGCAGCUCGAUUCCAUCUAGCCUAACGGCAGCGGCGGCAAUGUAGAGAGCACGUGGUAGUGCGCCUCGACGGCGGCGGUAGAGGACGGCUGGGCGGCACGCGACGCCACGAGGCAGCUCGGGCCUCACCUAUGCCGGUGUCUACUCCAUGCCGCUCAGUUGGAGAUCAAGUUGAGUCUUUCGUACAUUGCCAUGGCGUUGUCUCGCUGUUGAGGUGUCCGAAGCCUCCAUCCCAGCGCCCAACUGGAGUUCAAAGGGUGUCUUUUCCAAAGGAGAGGAAAGAAAAAGCAGUUGGGGGAGGAUUAGGGAGAAUUGAAUUCUAGGAGGGUAGGGGAAACCCUAGCCGCCGCCCCAAAUCCGGCACCUGCCAGGACAGACCCCUUCCUCCCUUCACUCCAGCAGCCUUCCCUCACCUCCAGCACUCCACCAAGGAAGGAAAGCUGGUGCAAGAUUUUUGAAGAAUCAAGGCUUCUCAGUUGCUCAAGUAUCACGUACUUCUCUUCUCCACGCUUUUGCUCCCUUUCCUGUUUCUCUCCGGUUGCCAAUCCUCACCAAGUGCGUGCUCUGAAGUCUGCAGGUUGUUUCCUUAGUUUGGUUUUGCAUGACAGAGAAUCUAUGUUGUCCUGCCUGAAUAAGUUUGACGUUGUUUAGAUGAGCUUGAAAUACUAAAACCACAACCCCAACGUCAUCUGCAUUCACUUGAUUUAGAAUUGAAUGGGAGUGCAAUAGUGCAUCUCGUAAUGCCGGCAAAUAACUCGGGGAAAUAGAAAACACUUGCAUUUUGUUAACUGCUAUUAGGUAGCCUCUAAGGCAAAUAUUUCUUUUUCUUCUUUUGUUUAUUUAAUUUCUUCUUCUUUUCUUGUUCUUCCUUUUGUUCUGCAAAUGCCUCAGGCAGUGCAAGUUGGUGAGAGAGAAGGGGCUGUUGACCCAAAGUUGUUAACUAGAUAAUUAGUCUAUCAGUUGUUAAGAACCAUUAUCAUUUUUUUAUAGUUCUGCCUAGGGUUUAUUAUGAAUUUAUACAAUCUUUUCAAAUUGAGUUUAGGUAAAAAUUUCAGAAUGCUAGCAAGACGUUAUGAGCUGCAUUUGUACCUUCUUUUGCAGAAGCGAGAGUGUGAGACGAUCUUUUGCCAAAUAGAGAUAAAUCAAACUUAUUUUUACGAGGACAAUAACAAUUAGUUUCGGUUAUUUCAAAUGGUAUAGGCCCAUUAAUCAAAACCAGUUAAUGUUAAGCUUUUUUUAGAAAGGUGUUCUGUAAAUGACUAUGUAACACUUCAAAAUGAUGCUUUGCUUAUGCCAUUGUGUGCUAUACAGGUCUCAAGUUUAAAUUACAUUACUAUUCACCCAUAUUGAUCAAUCUUUUACAAAGAAAAUGACUGAUGCUGAAGAGAACAUGUGAAUCACAAACGCCUGUUUGUAGACUAUGAUUACUUUUGCCCGAAUCUCGACAUGAUGUUGUUUUCAAAUUUAUAAAAUUGUUGUAAGGUUUUUCUUUGUAAAGGCUUAUCUUUGGAGUGUUGGGAAGUAUACAAGAAAUUUAGUGCCAUUGUUUUAGUUCAAAAUGACAUUAGAUGCAUCAUGCACAGUCUACGUGUAAAAUAGGAGUACCUUUUUUCCUACAAAUAAUAUCCCUUGCAUCUUACUGGAGGCUAAAACAAUGGGGCACAGCACCUUAACGUGUGUGUUUUAUGAGUGCAUCAAGCAUUGUCUUCUGAAGGAAAAGAUUAGAUGUCAAUGCAGCACACAAAUAAUAUCCUACAGGGAUGUUGAAAUUCAUUUGUGCUAUGGAAGAGCAAAGAAGAUGCUUGUUUAUAGGUUAAUUAUUGUACGAAACAAUUGGACAGUAUUGUUUCAUAUUGUUUCUUGCUCAUUUAACAUGCAGCUACAAUUCAUAUCUCUACUUGGAACUCACCAUAAGGCAUAGGAUUUCCUAUAGCAGAAAGUGUUGUGCAAUGUAAUUUGACUUUCUUUGUGCCACUUAAUAGAAUGACAAGUAGUUAGACUUCAAUUUGAAUUUCUUUACUUUGAUGCUCUGAAGUAGUUGUUCAUUGUUUAUAAUCUUGAUUUUUGUUUUAUGUAAUUGUUCAAAAUUAAAAGAAAUUAUCCAUUGCCCGUAGCAAUGCACGUGCAUAUUUCCAUGUGUGGAUCCAUAUUAGGAACAAGCGAAGAGCAAGGACCUGUAGCAACGCACGGGCAUUUCUGCUAGUUAGUUUUAAACAAAGGUGAUCUGCGGCAAACUCUAAGUGAUUACGUUUGGAGUUCAGGUUGCCUGAUCUAGCAGAUCUAGAGCAAAGCUUACGGCGGUAGGUAGUCCAGCGGCAACAGUGGAUGGAGAGGCAAGGUGGCGGCGGACUGACGGUACCAUUGCCAGCCACAAGUGGCGAAAGCAUAAAGAGAACCAACAUGUGAGGCUGCUGGUUCACCGGUUCAAUGGCGGUUGACCCGUCGAAGCGUGGUUUAACAAUGUACGUAUUCCGUGUAUACUUCUUUCAACUUGGCGUUAACAUCGGACCAACAAUUCGUACUCGAACCUGCAACGUGCGGAGAGCCUCAUGGCUGCUCCUCGGCACACUUCGGUCAGACCGAUAUGAUGGCCGGUCGGAUCGGUUCACCGGCGAACCCGGUGAAGAAAACCAACAAACGCUCGCCUGGGAGGGAUCCCGUCAGAGAAGGUGCAUCUUGGGUUGUUCUAGGGUCGGUAGUCCACCCAAAACGUCCUUAAACGCCGUAGAGACGAAGGAAGAAUAAUAAGAUAGGUUUGGAAAAGCUAGGGCAAAGAGAAAAAGUAAAAAGACAAAAUAGUAGAUUGCUAAUGUUUUUUAUUGAUUGGAUGCCCCCAAUCGAUCGUGACCCUUUAUAUUUAUUGGGAGAGGAGGUGCUGCCACAUUAGGAGUCGAAACCCUAACAAAUUCUGUGUUAAAAUACAACUCCUAGCUCGGACUACACAGACCAAACUGGUCUGACCGCCUUGGCUAAUCGGUCUAACUAGUUUUCCUAGGUGCAGAUUUUCCCAAAGUCAUAACCUAGUCCGAACUCCAAAUCGAACCCUUUUCAUCUACUCAACGAGAGCUACACAAUGGUAAAAUCCAAUUUAUAUUUUGGAGAUUGUGGUCAGACCGAUUUAAUGAUCGGUGUGUCCUUAUCCUGCCAAUUUUGAUCGUGAACCCAACCACUUAAAGAAAUCGCGCUGCAUGGCUAGUGGCGACGGCUUUAAACCAACAAAACAGGGUUCGAACCUUCUCGUUUACCCGUAGUUUUAGGCUCGGGGCCUUCAAACUGUUACCUUGGGGACCACGUGUAGCCCCAUAGCUCACAAAAAUAUGCUCCUGAUGUCCGUUUAUCCCCUUAACCGAUUGUUUGAGUGAACCAGACCGGAUUUUUUCUGGUCCAACUAGUGGUCCGGUCCAUUUUUUCUUUCUAUGGGCAGAAGGUGCCCAUGUGACAAGGCCAUUGCGGGGGUGUCAACUGCCAAUAUGAUGUUCCAACAAAGUCGAGUGAGCACAACAGUAGAAAAGUGGUGACAAAUCUAGAUUAGCGAGACGAAGAAUAAGGCCGAGAGAUGAUCGAGUGGUUCUUCAUGGAGGCCCUUCUAAAGGCUUUUUCGCCAUGGUAGGAUUGAGAGUCACCAGGAGCUCUAAUGUUACAUCAUCAGAUCAUCACAUGCCUAUGAUAAUCGUUAUGACAUACUUACGGAUGAUUAUUAUCACAUACCUAAGUUCCAAGUCCUACGAUCAAGGAAAAUGUAAAGGUCUACUAGAAAGAAGCUGCGCUGAAAGCAACCCUUUCAGAGCGCACCCUUUUGGCUUCUUCGGACCGAGGCAAUACCAAACAACAAUUCUAGUAGAACAGGGAGAACAGAAGACUAGUCGAUUAAUUAGGACUAUGAUUCAUUAAGAUACUUUCAUUCUUAAAACCAAGCAAGCACGCUUGUUUGUCAAUUGUGAUGCAUACCAAAUCAUCUGGCAUGGCCAUGCUGAACAGAUUCAUGUUCAGAGCCAUGACUAUUUCUUAAUUUUGUUACAGCUCCCUCUUUCAAACUUAUUCGACUAUACGAAUUUUCAGGAUGCUUCAACAUUCUAUUCCUUACACCUGUUAAAUUUUCCCACAAUUAUAUUUUUAGGGAAUUGGGUGGGACAUGAUGAUUUACUUCACCGGAGUUUGAAACAACCACCACGCACCAUGAACAAUUUACAUUUCCAAUCCUACCUCUUUCAGUUUUGAAUUGGGAGAUUUCGUGGUGAUUAGAAAUUGUAAAACUUGUCUCAAGAAUCUUUUCGUGAUGAAAUCCUUUUUGAGGUCUGAGUCCUAGCCUCCUAGGUAAGUGCUUUGCAAACCAGAGGGUGAUCAAUAUUCCAAAUAAUGACCAAACCUCAUGUGCAUCUCUUAUUUAAUUUAUCAAUCUCAAGAAUAAAUUUGAUUAUGCAAUUCUAUGAGAUGUUUCUUCGCAACACAGUACCUGCAUCUAUCAUUUUUUCUUGAGUUUUUUUUUGCAGAGAUUAGAUCAUACAGAAAUAGUUUGAAUGAGCUUGCACGCAAAUGGAUCCAAGAGGGCCGGUGGGCUCCGUGUUUUAAGCUCAUUUCAGUUUGAAACUUCUCACGAUGUUGCUUGAUCAACUUUUAGUCCUAUCUCUACAAUCUUUUAUGGAGUUUUUUUGUGGUUAUUUGGUGCACAUGAACGCGGUUCUAUGUAUGUGUAAGAAGUUAAUUACUGCUGUUAUUUGAGUUUGACAUGACCCAUGGACCUUGGUAAAAGUAAACAGGUGCCUAUGCGAAGUGAAGUGAUGCGACGACGUCGACCAAUGCGUAUGUCUCCAAUGUGUGGCUUUUGUACUUCAUCUACCAUCUUGAAAUGAAGCUCCCCAAGUGAUGUUUAGAGUAAUCAGUCACCUGAUUAUAGCUUCUCAGCUCGAUCAGCCUGAAGGCACUGAUACAGAAUUGGCAUUUACACCAUUGUUUGAUGACAUGGAGCAGUGUUAGUCCAUAAAAGAGAGGAGGUGAAGGAGCGCAACACCACUGUUGCUUCUGCAAAGCUGAGAGAGACGAGUAAAAUUCCUUUUGAUGUAGCAAGGGAUGAAUGGUUGGCGGAAGCCGCUCCGGUGGCAUGCUUCGAUAGUAAGCUUGGGAGGUAUUGGGAGGUCUCGUGUUGCAUGAUAUCAUUCACAUUCGUCAAGGAAAUUGCAUCGAUCGGGCUUCCUGUAAAAACGGAGCCACCGUAAUAUGAGUGGAUUAAUUCAUAAUUUCAUAUCACAUCUGGUUGUAAUG